UACAGAGGGUGCAAGCGUUAAUCGGAAUUACUGGGCGUAAAGCGUGCGCAGGCGGUUUUGUAAGCCAGAUGUGAAAUCCCCGGGCUCAACCUGGGAAUGGCAUUUGGGACUGCAAGGCUGGAGUACGGCAGAGGAGACUGGAAUUCCUGGUGUAGCAGUGAAAUGCGUAGAUAUCAGGAGGAAUACCGAUGGCGAAGGCAGGUCUCUGGGCUGAUACUGACGCUCAUGCACGAAAGCGUGGGGAGCAAACAGG
rnacentral:rRNA from 1 species